AGCAAGACAAGUCUCUGGUUAGCAUUGAGGCAGAUUCUCACUUCCUCUUUUGCCUUUAAUUGGAGAAGAGGGGGAAAAAGAGCCACAAGGAGACCUAAUGGAGGCGCUCAAGCCUCUGAGGACUCAGAGGUUCUGGGCAAAGUGCAGAGUCCAGUAGCUGUUUUUGGAACCCAACAUAUCUCAAGGACAGAGUAUGGGCUGGACUGUGAUCCAAGGCUAAAAGACCUACAGGUGAUACAGAAAGAAAUCUGCUCACAGCUGACAGCAGCCUAUGCCCCGGAGACCCCUGAGACAUCCCAUCAGUUCCAGGUCGGAAGCAGCUACACUGAGCCCAGACACUCGAUCCUCGCUGGAAAGGACCAUACCUGGUGCUGCUGACCACCCUGACAGCCGUCAAUUCUCAGCCCUCACCAGCCGUGUACUAGCUGUUAGGGCUGAGAGCUGGGACCUAGAGAGAAAUUCAGUCAUGUUUGUCCUGGGUUCCAUCGAGAUAGGUGUGGGGAUAGGCUUGAUUUCUAUUACAAAUGAUGUAACAUUACAUAUGUUAGUACUCCUAACACUUCUUGGGACUGUGCCUCAGGGAUCACAACCUAUAUAAGUUUAGAAGUUCUGAAAGACAGUCAUGACCUUGGUGUAUAGGUUCAGAUAGUGUCCAGAUUGAAAUCCUGAUGCUAAAGACUUAGUAAGAGACAAAAAAAAAAGAGUUGAGAAUUACUUAGGGCUAGGGCUAUCUAGGUGCUACAAGGGCAGCACAAGGACAUCUGCUGUUGCCCUACAAUACAAGGCUUAUAGAGAAUUCAGAACUGCCAUUGACUCAGAUAUAAAAAGAGUAAAAGACUUUUUAGCUGACCUCCAAGAAUACCUAACCUCCCUCUCAGAGGUAGUCCUUCAAAAUAAAAAAAGAUUAGACCUGAUAUUCCUUAAAGAAAGAGUCUGUGUGCUAUACUAAAAGAAAAAUGUUGCUUCUAUACAGACCAUUCAGGAGUAAUUAAAGACUCCAUAAAUAAACUUAGAAAAAGGUUAGACAAAAGACAGACAGAAAAACACAUCAGAGAUAGUUCGAGAGCUAGUUUAGUAGAUCUCCCUGGAUGACUACCCUACUCUCUGCUACAGGUGGGCCAUUAUUAAUAAUUUUCUUGGUUUUAGUUUUUGGCUCCUGCGUGACAAACAGGUUAAUUACUUUUGUUAAAAAUCGAGUGGGUGCUGUGCGGUUGAUGUUGUGAGACAACAGUACCAGUCAGUUAGGACAACUGGUGAGACCAAAUACGAGACUUGAUAUCAAAAUUCUAAGAUUAGAAUUAUUUAGUAGGAGAAGACGGGAAUGAAAAGAAAAUUAUACGAAUUCUAGGUUUAAAAAUAUAAAAUUAAAAGAGUUAGCCCCAAAAGCCACAAACUCAGGGCUAAGCCCUGCCGCCAGGAAUAGCAGGCCAUAAAGAUAAAGAAAAGGAAUACAAGAACCAGCUCAGGCUAUCGAGGACUGAGCCAUAAACCAUCCAAAGACAUCCCCCCAGCUUACUCAGAGUCAUACUUUAACC
rnacentral:lncRNA from 1 species